rnacentral:rRNA from 1 species
UGCAGUCGAGCGGAAACGAGUUAUCUGAACCUUCGGGGAACGAUAACGGCGUCGAGCGGCGGACGGGUGAGUAAUGCCUAGGAAAUUGCCCUGAUGUGGGGGAUAACCAUUGGAAACGAUGGCUAAUACCGCAUGAUGCCUACGGGCCAAAGAGGGGGACCUUCGGGCCUCUCGCGUCAGGAUAUGCCUAGGUGGGAUUAGCUAGUUGGUGAGGUAAGGGCUCACCAAGGCGACGAUCCCUAGCUGGUCUGAGAGGAUGAUCAGCCACACUGGAACUGAGACACGGUCCAGACUCCUACGGGAGGCAGCAGUGGGGAAUAUUGCACAAUGGGCGCAAGCCUGAUGCAGCCAUGCCGCGUGUGUGAAGAAGGCCUUCGGGUUGUAAAGCACUUUCAGUCGUGAGGAAGGUGGUGUAGUUAAUAGCUGCAUUAUUUGACGUUAGCGACAGAAGAAGCACCGGCUAACUCCGUGCCAGCAGCCGCGGUAAUACGGAGGGUGCGAGCGUUAAUCGGAAUUACUGGGCGUAAAGCGCAUGCAGGUGGUUUGUUAAGUCAGAUGUGAAAGCCCGGGGCUCAACCUCGGAAUAGCAUUUGAAACUGGCAGACUAGAGUACUGUAGAGGGGGGUAGAAUUUCAGGUGUAGCGGUGAAAUGCGUAGAGAUCUGAAGGAAUACCGGUGGCGAAGGCGGCCCCCUGGACAGAUACUGACACUCAGAUGCGAAAGCGUGGGGAGCAAACAGGAUUAGAUACCCUGGUAGUCCACGCCGUAAACGAUGUCUACUUGGAGGUUGUGGCCUUGAGCCGUGGCUUUCGGAGCUAACGCGUUAAGUAGACCGCCUGGGGAGUACGGUCGCAAGAUUAAAACUCAAAUGAAUUGACGGGGGCCCGCACAAGCGGUGGAGCAUGUGGUUUAAUUCGAUGCAACGCGAAGAACCUUACCUACUCUUGACAUCCAGAGAACUUUCCAGAGAUGGAUUGGUGCCUUCGGGAACUCUGAGACAGGUGCUGCAUGGCUGUCGUCAGCUCGUGUUGUGAAAUGUUGGGUUAAGUCCCGCAACGAGCGCAACCCUUAUCCUUGUUUGCCAGCGAGUAAUGUCGGGAACUCCAGGGAGACUGCCGGUGAUAAACCGGAGGAAGGUGGGGACGACGUCAAGUCAUCAUGGCCCUUACGAGUAGGGCUACACACGUGCUACAAUGGCGCAUACAGAGGGCGGCCAACUUGCGAAAGUGAGCGAAUCCCAAAAAGUGCGUCGUAGUCCGGAUUGGAGUCUGCAACUCGACUCCAUGAAGUCGGAAUCGCUAGUAAUCGUGGAUCAGAAUGCCACGGUGAAUACGUUCCCGGGCCUUGUACACACCGCCCGUCACACCAUGGGAGUGGGCUGCAAAAGAAGUAGGUAGUUUAACCUUCGGGGGGACGC